rnacentral:rRNA from 1 species
CCCUUAGAUGUUCUGGGCCGCACGCGCGCUACAACGGUCUUCGCAAACGGAUGCAUUCUCGAAGGAGAAUGCCAAUCUUGGAAUCUAUGCCUUGGUCGGGACAGUUGCUUGCAAUUUUUCGACUCGAACCAGGAAUUCCUUGUAAUCGUGAUUCAUCACAUCACGAUGAAUACGUCCCUGCCCUUUGUACACACCGCCCGUCGCUCCUACCGAUCGAAGAGUUAGGUGAAUUGUUUUGAUCGAUAAGAUUUGACUAUGGUCAACUCUCGUUGUGAAAUUCUGUGAAUCUGACUGUUUAGAGGAAGGAAAAGUCGUAACA